ACCUGGCUAGCUCAGUUGGUAGAGCAUGGGACUCUUGCUCUCAGGGUGUGGGUUUGAGCCCCACACUAGAUC
rnacentral:tRNA from 1 species